ensembl:lncRNA
UGGGGCAGUUGGUGGCCUUCCUGCGCCCGUCAGGGUAGAGCCGCCGGCCUGAGAAGGAGGGCACUGCUGAGCCCAGGGGUUGAGAGCGCCGGUUCUUGCUGUGGUCCGGGAGCUGCCCUGAGGCCAGAGGGAGGCCGUCUGCCCGUGAGUCCUCUCCUGCUUGUCUGUCAGCUUGUUUGAACCACACUGGAUUUUCUGUCCAGCUGGCUACGUGGAGACCCUGGAAAUGCUCCUCUGUGAGUUUUGGCUGGCUUCAGGGAAGAAAUGCCAGAUGAUACUGGGAGACUCAGUUUAAUCUGGAUUCAGGUCAUAUCUCUUGAAAGUGAAGUGAAAGUCCCUCAGUCAUGUCUAACUCUUGGCAACCCCAUGGGCUAUACAGUCCAUGGAAUUCUGCAGGCCAGAAUACUGGAGUGGGUAGCCUUUCCCUUCUCCAGGGGAUCUUCCCAGUCCAGGGAUUGAACCCAGGUUUCCUGCAAUGCAGGAAUAUUCUUUACCAGCUGAGCCCCAAGAGAAGUCCAAGAAUACUGAAGUGGGUAGCCUGUCCCUUCUGUAGUGGAUCAGCAUGCCCAACCCAGGAAUCAAACCAGGGUCUCCUCAUGGCAGGAGGAUUCAUUACCAGCUGAGCUAUCAGGGAAGCCCAGUAUCUCUUAAGGCCAGCUAUUCAUUGAUAUCUCUUAAGGCCAGAUAUUAAUUGUAGGAUUACCCUAAUUAGUCUUCAUGGGAUUAAGCUGGCAACCUGCUAAGGUAGCAAUUGAUGUCCUUUAUCUAGAGGACAAAACGGGGGCUCACAGAAGUGGGUAACACAGCUACAGCAAGGAAGUGUGUACCUAGACAAAACCCCCCGAUCUUCUGUUAGAACUCAGGGAAGCCAUGUGGUGUGGCUUGUCCAUGUGACGGGGGCUAAGGCACCCAGCCCACACUGGAUACUGUGGGGACCUGACUUGGUAACUGCCUUCUGGCAGCUCUGAGACUCACAAAAGCAAUUUGCACUGAAGAGAGGAGGGACACCUCUCUUCAUCCUCCCCACCACACCCUCCGGCUACUCCCACACCCUGCCCCCUUUCUCUUUCUUUGUGAGGGAAUAAGUGUCACGCUCAUGUGACCACAUUGGCUGUCCACUGUUCACGAGCUACCACCUGGAGCUGCUACCGGAGAGGCCAAGAGCCUUUGCCCCCGAGUACCUCUCUUUCCUUUGCACCGUGGGGGCCCUCCUCCACACCUGCACACCAGAGGCUGUUUCUGAGACAUGCAGGGACCCUCCUUCAGUUUGCAACAGGUUGCAUCCAUCGCUGUCCUUUCAAUGCUUCCCUUGACACUCAGCUCCUGAGCUCCUUUGUCUGCAUUGCGGCCCACCUGGCUGCCACGGGAGGGACAGAGCUGACCAUGAAUCCAAAGCUCAGAUCUGACAGGCAGCAAUCUGUGUGUAAAGGGCCUGAUUAAUCAUGCUGUAGAGGCUGUAGUGGGCUCUAGGGAUCCGUAACCAGGGCUUGGGCCAAAGUGACUCCACAGCUGUUUUAAUGCCUGGGGAGGGUUCUGGCUACAGUGGGGGUGGGGUGAGUCUCCUGAGGUUCUGAAGGCCCACUGUGCAGGUUCAUGGCACACAGAGAAGAGAAGGCGGAGUCCUUUCCUGGAGCUGGUGGGCUGCGGGCACAGCCAUGGAUGACCAGGAGUCUGCAUCUCACUAGGGGCCGAGGCUGGUGCUGAGGGAAUCCUCAGUGAGGAUUUUUUUCCUUAAAAGCCAUCCUAAGUGACUUCAGCUCCAUUGCUUUUUGCCAAAAACCUACAAUGAUCCCAAGAGCUUUGUACACACCAAGGGUGGUGACUGGACAUGGAGCCCAGCACAGACGGAAGUCAGUCCUGCCCUGAGUCCCACGGGCCAGCCAC